rnacentral:piRNA from 1 species
UAAGAAUUUGCAUUUUAACUG